CACGUACGCACACACACACACAUCCACACACACCGGAUGGUACCAGUUAAAGAGUUUAUGUUUCUCAAGGUCAAUUCUUUCUUCAAGGUGCCGGUAGUGAACUCCACUUAAUUGAACAGACUAUAAUUGUGCAGGCACUGGACUGUUAAUCCCAACCCACUUAU